rnacentral:rRNA from 1 species
AUUGAACGCUGGCGGCAGGCCUAACACAUGCAAGUCGAGCGAGCGGCGGACGGGUGAGUAAUGUAUGGGGACUGCCCGAUAGCGGGGGAUAACUACUGGAAACGGUGGCUAAUACCGCAUACUAUCGGAUAACCCAUAUGGGAUUAGCUGGUAGGUGGGGUAAAGGCUCGCCUGGGCGACGAUCUCUAGCUGGUCUGAGAGGAUGAUCAGCGAAACUGGGACAGAGACACGGCGCAGACUCCUACGGAGGAAGCAGUGGGGAAUAUUGCACAAUGGGCGCAAGCCUGAUAGAGCCAUGCCGCGUGUAUGAAGAAGGCCUUAAGGUUGUAAAGUACUUUCAGCGGGGAGGCGUUACCCGCAGAAGAAGCACCGGCUAAAUCCGUGCCAGCAGCCGCGGUAAUUC